CCUACGGGGGGCAGCAGUGAGGAAUAUUGGGCAAUGGGCGGGAGCCUGAACCAGCCAAGCCGCGUGAGGGAAGAAGGUACAGCGUAUCGUAACCUCUUUUGUCAGGGAACAAAGGCGGGGACUAGUCCCCGGAUGAGGGUACCUGAAGAAAAAGCAUCGGCUAACGCGGUCCCAGCAGCCGCGGUAAUACGGAGGAUGCGGGCGUUAUCCGGAUUUAGGGGGGUUAAGGGGUGCGCAGGCGUCCUGUUAAGUCAGCGGUAAAAGCCCGGGGCUCAACCCCGGCGAGCCGUUGAAACUGGCGGGCUGGAGUUGGAGAGAAGUACGCGGAAUGCGCGGUGUAGCGGUGAAAUGCUUAGAUAUCGGGCAGAACCCCGAUGGCGAAGGCAGCGUACCGGCUCAACACUGACGCUGAGGCGCGAAAGCGUGGGUAUCGAACAGGAUUAGAUACCCCGGUAGUC
rnacentral:rRNA from 1 species